UAGGGAAUCUUCCACAAUGGACGCAAGUCUGAUGGAGCAACGCCGCGUGAGUGAAGAAGGUCUUCGGAUCGUAAAACUCUGUUGUUAGAGAAGAACACGAGUGAGAGUAACUGUUCAUUCGAUGACGGUAUCUAACCAGCAAGUCACGGCUAGCUACGUGCCAA
rnacentral:rRNA from 1 species